GACGAACGCUGGCGGCGUGCUUAACACAUGCAAGUCGAGCGGUAAGGCCCGUUUCGGGGGUACACGAGCGGCGAACGGGUGAGUAACACGUGGGUGACCUGCCCUUAGCUCUGGGAUAAGCCUGGGAAACUGGGUCUAAUACCGGAUAUGACUCCAUGACGCAUGUUGUGGGGUGGAAAGCCUUGUGCGGCUAGGGGAUGGGCCCGCGGCCUAUCAGCUUGUUGGUGGGGUGAUGGCCACCAAGGCGACGACGGGUAGCCGGCCUGAGAGGGCGACCGGCCACACUGGGACUGAGACACGGCCCAGACUCCUACGGGAGGCAGCAGUGGGGAAUCUUGCGCAAUGGGCGAAAGCCUGACGCAGCGACGCCGCGUGGGGAUGAC
rnacentral:rRNA from 1 species